rfam:Cricetulus griseus cell line CHO-K1, whole genome shotgun sequence.
GUCUAAGGCCAUACCACCGUGAACGUGCCGGACCUCAUCUGAUCUCAGAAGCUAAGCAGGGUCGGGCCUGGUUAGUGCCUGGAUGGUAGCUC